CGAGCGGCUUCGAACUUAGCAUUCUGGCGGAAAGGGUGGGAUUCGAACCCACGGUACGGUAAAACCGUACACCGGAUUUCGAGUCCGGCCCGUUCGACCA
rnacentral:tRNA from 1 species